UUUUUUUUUUUUUUUUCCUUUCUGAUCUCAGUUACAGUUUUAUUUUUCCUGAAACACAGGUCUACAGAGACAAGGGAAAAAAAGCGAGAGAGGGAACAGAAUUGGUUGGGGGUAAUUAACUAAGGAGAAGGCAGCUGAAGAAGUGGGUCUGAGGACUGUUUUCCUUUCUCCGUGACCAGCUUGAAAGCAUCUUAUUUCAGCUUGGAACGUCGUGGAUGAGGCCAGCUUGCUUCUAGUGGAUGUGUGGGAAAGGCAUAUUUAGAGUUCCCUCAGAGUUCCUUUCCACCUCGUGUAUGAAGUUGGCUUUUUAUUUUUAUCCUUUUCUCUCCUUCCUUUCACGAGUGCCAUAGUGGUUGAGUACAUCUUUUUUUCUGGUGACAGUACUAAGACUGUAGGCUCAGACCACCUUCAGCUGGCUAUUUAGUCACCUGUUUGCUGGCUGCAGAGAAGGAGACAGAAAUCCUCCCAUCUGCUCAGAUCCUUUCCCCCUUAUUACUUUAUGCGUGAACACCACGGCUUUGUCAAAUGUCCAGGGAGACUGUCUCUCCUCAAACUGGCUGUAACGCUAGAUCUCUGGCCACUUAGAAGGCCCGAGGUUUGUUUUUUUUUUUUUUUUUUUUUUUUUUUUUUCUCCUGCCAAGCUGUCGGUUCUCAGUGUGGUAAGGUUCCUUUUGUGGCCAAAUGCAGAGAAAUGAUGGGCUGAGUUAGGGAUGUGUGGUGUGUGUGUGUUUGCCUGUGGCUGCCGAAGUGGAGGAUGUGUUGGGAGGAGCACUCAGGACUUCCAUUUUUGCUUUCUUACUACGCAACGAUAAAAUAAAUGACGCUUAGUAGAUAACUUUGUGCUUAGAGAACUGGAGCUCAAUUGAAGAAACAAAACUCCACCAGGAGGAGUGCUCAGUAUCUUGAACUUAGGAAACGGACCUCGUUAAUUUUAAUGAGGGGAAAAAUUCUCCAGCUGGAGCUGAGAAGAAGAUGAAAUACCAAUGAGGUUAUCACUUUGGAUGAUCUCAAUGAAUUCAGAGUAGCAUCAGAAUGAUGCUUGGAGAAUUUUCUGAAGUUCUUUGGAGAGAUUUAGCAGAGAAUGCAUUUGCCUUCGAUGGUAUAUAAAGACCGCUUCCCUGGAGGGCAGAGCAGAACUUUAUAUGGUUCCUCUUAGAGGGGCUCUUAGAAAGCUUAGCACAUUAAGAAGUUGGGCUAAAAUAAAACUCAGAGAGAAAAUAAAUGAAUGUGAGUCUUAUGUGAGUCUAGCUUGGGAACAAUGGAGCUGGUAAUAUAGUGGCCGAGACAGUUGACUGGAAGCCAAGGGCUUCUGAGUUCAAGUGCACACUGGGACACUAACUUCCACUGGGAUUUGGGGCAUCUGUUUCUUUAUCACCCAAAGGCAGGAGGUGGGCUGAGGGCAUCCUGUUAUAUAGUAGGCAGCCAUUCAACGUGAACAAUAAGUCGAUGACUUUGGCCCUGUUGUUGAGGAGCUGACAGAUUGUGACCAAUGAGGUUGGGGUGACUGGAGGACAAUUUUGCCCUCAGUUGGGAGAGGCUUGCCAAAUUCCCCUGGCAUUGGUCCGGAACCACAGACAGAAACAUCACCGUUUAAGGUAUUUGGCCCUUUUACUUUAUCCUCGUCCACUACACGGCUGAUCCUAGGAAAAAGAGCACUCUUCCACCAAUGAAUUCUUCAGAGGUCUGGAGCAGACAGCCCAGGCUUUUUUCUCCAAAAGCUCCAGCCUGCUGACUCAAGCUCUUUUCUCAUCUCUCUGGCAUGUCGCUGCACUCAGGAUAAGAUUUGUGCGACCAUCAGGUACAAAUUCAUGUGUCACUUUUUGAUUAAAUGGGGCCAUCUUGCUCUAGGGGUCACCGGGCAUGUGGGGGGGACCCAUUCCUACUUCUAAGGUCCCUUGAAUUUCAGCCCUUUUCUUUGAAAGCUGUAAGGCAACAGUUCAGGGCACUUGUGCUGCUGCUAUGGCUGUGCCUAUAUUUGAUGGGGAAGGCUGGUUGCCAAGCAGCAGGGAAUGGACAUGAUCGUGUUGCCUAGCAACAGCGGCAGCGUGGUCACUUGCGCAGAUUUCUGCGCCUCUUCCUGUUUGGUCUGCUGGAAAAUACAGAUGGCUUCCGUGGGUCGCUCUCUACCCUGGCCACAGUGAGAUGUUGGAAAAACAGUGAACCGGGGUGGAUAAAUGCACAAGCAGGUGGUUUAAAAUGAUUACUUUCUAAACUGUCUAGGGCCGAGCUUUUUGUACGGUGUUCCUCCAUUUCCCCUUUGAAGAUAUUGUACGUACCCAGCGUGACCUGUAGAUUGAUUGCAGAGCCAGGAGAGGAGUCUUAGGAAAAAGUACCCCACUUCUUUGCGUGCUGCCUCUUCUGAGCCUGGUGGAGCCUUCGCACUGGGGAGCAUGUGUGAAUAUAAUAUAAAACAGUCAGUUUUCUGAUAAAUACACACACACACACACACACACACACAGGCCUGUGUGAAAAAGAUACAGGAGGAGCAGAGCGUGACCACCUAUUGUUCGUUGGGGUCUGAGGAACAAAGCAGUCGGGAGAGAUAAAGGCAGGCGAGCCCUGCGGGUCUGCCCUUUCUCCCUGCUCUGACCAGCACCUCGCAUGUGACACAGCUCAGUGAGGUCACUUGCUCAUUCCAGAUUCUAAAGAUGCUUCCUUGGCAGAGGCCUCCUAGGUCAGAGGCCUCUUGGCGGUGGUUGUAUGUUUGGAGCACCAGGAGUGUUUGGAGCUGAAUGCUUAAGGAAUGGAUUUUCUGGCAGUGAGAGAAAGAGAGUGAGCAUCUGACCCUUAGCCCUCAUAGGGUGAGGAGGUACCUCCCUACCCACUCCCAUUCCUGUCUAUGGAGUUGAAUUGUAGCCAAGUACCGGCUUGGUGUCAGCAGGCCCUGGUUCUGUCUUUAAUGUCACUGCCUACCUGCGGUGUGGCUCUGUGCGGCCCUUUGUCCCACCUGAACCUUUGCAUUCCUGUCUAGGAAGAUAAUAGCAAACGCAGCCUCACAGGGAGGGCUUGAAGGUUCAGAAAGGCCCUGGUUUGUUGGCACAUCUGGCCUAGAGCCAGUGUGUAGGGAUUCUUGCUGCCAACCUCCUCCUAGCAGUUUAAGAGCAGGAAGAGAGAAGGGAAGGCAAGCUCUGCACAGCACAGAUUUCGCCAUCUUGGUUUCUGUUCCCAGCCUUAGCCUUCCAGAUGAUGAGCCAGUAUUUCCAUCCAUUUAGGUUAGAAAAGACGAGAGACCCCUCUCCUUUUGGAGGCUUGACUUGGUCCCUUGGGAGCCUGGAGGGGGCUAAUUGAUUUUCAGUAGUUUCCUAGUUUUUACAAAAUCAGUAAGGAUGGGUUGUUUGCAUUUCACAGAGGAUGAGACAGGAAUGUAGAACAGUGGGCUAAUUUGUUGGGGAUUCUCGAGACCAUUGGUUCCAAGUUGGGAUCAAAAUCCUAGGGCCUGAUGGGGUAAAGGAAGCCCCUGGCAAAGCCAGAGGGAGUAGGUUAGUGUAGGACAUCUCUGUGGAGUCAGAACGUUCUAGGAACUGAGGAGACUUGGAUUUUAGGUUUCAAGUUGCCAGGUCAGUGAGUGUCUUCUGGACAGAUUGAAGCAUGGCUUUUGGCAGCCCAGCUGAGCUGCCAGGCCUGAGUCUGCUCUGUUGUACGUCCACUAGUCUGCAGAGGGGCAAAGGCAUUCUAAUGCAGAAGCUCCAGCUCUCAUUGAAGUCCUGCUAAAGGCCCUGGUUCUUCAGUUUCCUCAGAGUCAGGGAAACCUAGGGCUAGGAAUUACCAGCUUUGGCUACUUUAAAAGUGCUCUACUCAGUGGAUUGCUCCAUGAAGGACAGCAUGUCCUUCUUUUGCAUUGGUUACUUGUCUCUCUCUUUUUUUCUUUUUUGGUCUUUUUAGGGCCACACGCAUAGCAUAUGGAAGUUCCCAUGCUGUGGAUCACAUUCGAGCUUCAGCUGCUGGCCUGUGCCACAGCCAGAGCAAUGCCAGAUCCGAGCUGUGCCUGCUGCCUACACCACAGCUCACUGCAACCCUGGAUCCUUAACCCACUGAGUGAGGUCAGGGAUCCAUACUGUGUCCUCAUGGAUCCUAGUCAGGUUCAUCGCUAUGGAGCCAAGGUGGGAACUUCCUGGUUACUUUGUCUCUUAAAGCAAGUGUAGACACAGUUUUCUGGACCAACAACUGUUAACGGCUUCACUUCUCUUGUCAAAGAAGGGACUUGUUCUCUCAGAACCCUUUUGGCUCUGAAGGUUAGAACCUCUCCACAAUACCAACAUCCUCAGGCAUUUCUUGUUCUCUGUGCAGGAAGAGAGCAGCCCUCACAGAUUCUCCUCACAGCAGCCAUUGGUAGACUGUGAGCAGAACUCGGAAGGCAGUAUGGUUCUAGAAUUCCACACCGCCUGUUUUUGCCAUGGCGUCCAGAGCUGCCUCUGACUGUCACAUUCCAUGGCCCUGCGCCACCGAUGACUCAGGAUACUCAUCUAAGUGUUUUCCUUAGGGGCUGGGGCAGGGAGGAAGGGGAGAUUAAAGAGAGGAGAGACUUGUGUGCGGUCCAUUUCCCCACCUAUCUGACAUUAAAGGGGUCCAGCAGCUCCUGCCAUAGCACCUAGGAAGGUCAGGAGACACCCAGAUCUAAGCUAGAGUAAAGAAAUUUUUUUUUCUUUGCUUUUUAGGAUCACACCUGUGGCAUAUGGAAGUUCCCAGGCUAGGGGUGGAAUUGGAGCUACAGCUGCCAGCCUGAAGCCACAGUAACUUGGGAUCUGAGCCGUGUCUGCAAUCUAUAGCGCAGCUGAAUGGCAAUGCCAGAUCCUUAAUCCGCUGAGCAAGGCCAGGGAUGAACCUGCAUCCUCAUGGAUCCUAGCUGGGUUUGUUACCCCAGAGCCAUGAUGGGAACUCCCUAGAGGAAAGCAAUGAGGCCUUUUCCCCACCAGACGUGCCUCCCCAGCUGCCUUCUUACUUGGCUGUAUCUGUAAAUGAACCACCUUCUUUAUGCCUUGGUUUCAUGUGGUCUCUCUGUGAGACUCUUGGCAGAGGCCUUGGUUGCCACCAAAAGAGGCUAACAGUGCAGCCUCCGCCCCAGCCCAUCUCAGGGGUGUUUCCUUAGCUAAGUCCUGGGGAGGCAUGCAAUGAAAGAGAAACAGGUGUAGCCGACCUGAGGAACCACUUCAAGGCCACAUGUCUCCCCCCAGCAGCUCUCUCUUCCCGUGGAUUGGAAGAUGUUCAGCCUUUAGUCUCCGUCAGAGGACAGUGUGAGAAAGGGGAUUGUAUUAUCUGCUGAUUGUAUUAUCUGAUUGAAAUCCCCUCCCAGCUGUGUGAGCCUGUGGAUUUGCAUCCUUCCCGUGACAAGUAUCACUUAUUGUGUUUGGUUUUGCUUGUCACAGUGACUUUUGGUAUUCAGCUAACACCCUUCUUUUAAGGAAGUUAGAACACUUGAUACAUUUUAAGCCUCUGAUCCUCUCAAAUACUCCUGGAAAACUGAGGUCCAUUGAGAUGAAGUGCCUUGAUUAGUUAUAUAACAGGCUGGCUGCUUUUUGGUUACCCCUUUUCUUUCUCUCCCUCACUCUCACUUUCCCCUUCUCUCUCCCUUUCUUCCUCUCCCUCUCUCAUGUUGUUAGAAAAUUGUCUGCAUAUACAGGUUCGCAAUAUUCUACUUUUACAUCAGAAGUCCUAUCUCUAGUACUGUUUAUUUCCAUCAUGCCCCCUUUUCAGGAGAACUCUAGCUCUGUUGCCACAUUUGCAUUACCGGCCCCCUGCGUGUGCAUGAGAGGUUAGCAGUAACGCCACUUCAGAACCGAGGUUGCUGAGUGCAGGCUCAUUCUAUCUUGUAGAGACCAAGUCUCAGCAAGUGGAAGUGUCUUGCCAAGGGGGUGGAACUAUUAAUAAGAAAGGAAACUAAAAAUAGACCUUAGACAUUUCACUUGGCUCUCCUCGACAUCACUCCUCGCCUGGUCUUGGUUAGGACAGGCAUGACAUCGCUCCGUUUUCAUCCAGAGAACCACCACCCAAGUGUGUCUCAGUGGUUCAUUAGGGUAUGCAGUCUUUUAGAGGUGAUGUUGAAACUUGUAAACGUGGGGUAGUUCCUAAGGUCCUAAGGCCUAAGGAUGGGCACUGUAGCCUGGUCCUGGGAUGUCCUGGUAGAUAGGAAGUGUUCAGUGGACAUUUACCAAUUUGAUAAGGUUUUUAUUUUUAUUUUUUUGCUUUUCAGGGCCACUCCCGCAGCAUAUAGAGGUUUUCAGGCUAAGGGUCAAGUCAGAGCUAUAGCUGCUGGCCUACACCACAGCCACAGCAACUCGGGAUCCAAGCCGCGUCUGAGACCUACACCACAGCUCACGGCAAUGCCAUAUCCUUAACCCACUGAAUGGGGCCAAGGAUCGGACCCUCGUGCUCAUGGAUACUAGUGGGGUUCAUUUCCACUGAGCCACCAUGGGAACUCCCAAUCAGGUUUUGUUUUUUUUUGUUUGUUUUUUGUUUUUGUCUUUUUUGCUAUUUCUUGGGCCGCACCCUCGGCAUAUGGAGGUUCCCAGGCUAGGGGUCCAAUCGGAGCUGUAGCCACCAGCCUACGCCAGAGCCACAGCAACGCGGGAUCCGAGCCGCGUCUGCAACCUACACCACAGCUCACGGCAACGCCGGAUCGUUAACCCACUGAGCAAGGGCAGGGACCGAACCCGCAACCUCAUGGUUCCUAGUCGGAUUCAUUAACCACUGCGCCAUGACGGGAACUCCAGGUAUUUUUUUUUUUUUAAUUCUGGCCAGCACAGUUCCUUUACUGUCAGCAAGGGCACGGUGAACUGGCGCUACUUGCCUCAGAGAACAAUAGACAUCAUGAGGAAAUAAUAUAACAAAAACCAUCUGCCCUCAAGGAGCCCACAGUCUGGUUGUGGAGAAAGGACACAAAAAAGAAGUCUGUCCUUUGCUUUGACUGGCGUCACUGUGACUAUUCUAAGGCAACAGGCCACCUCUUAUUCUUUUACCCAGCCCAGCUGUUUCAGAUGGAAGGAUAGAGAGGCGGGCUUAUGCUGUGAUGGAGGUGAUGUUUUAUUUUAAGAUAAAGUAUGGAAGCAACUGAUUGAUGGAUUAUAAACUGGGAGGUCCAGGCUAAAGCUUCAUUCUGGGGGCAUCAGUAUAUUUCACUGGGAGCCUCCUGGGCAUUAAUUCCGCCGUUAAUUUUGUUAUUAGAGACCUAGCCAAACAAAGGGAGGUGGCGAAGCUCGAGGCUGGUUUAACCUUGAUGAAACAGUGAUUUCACCAAGGGUGAUGUUCCCCCAUCUAUCUUCAUCCAUCAAGGCACUGCUGAAAUAUGCUAAUGAAGCCCAGAGAUAGGAGCCCAGCGCAGUUAAAUGGGGCGUUGCAGACACUCUCUGUACCCCCGUGACAGGGCGAUGCCACUUACUGUCCAGAUUUAGUAUAGGAAGGAGAGCAGUGCUGACGUGGAAUUGUGGUCAAAGGCACACUGUUGGUGGAGAGUCCACCUUGCAGACACGAAGGGCAAGAUUCAGAGGCACACAUUCCAGAAUGGGACAGAAGAGCUUGGGGUUUGGGGAAAGGGGUUGUUUUCCUUUAUUUUCUUGGCCGCAUCUUUCAGCUAAUCCAUUUAAGAAGCAAAUACGUGGCACACUGCAGAUGGGGAAGCGUUUUGGUUUGUAAGCAUUUUUGUUUGUAAGUUCCAGAAUGUGACCUCCCACUUUGUGCCAGAUCAACUUAUCUGUCACCCUGUCAGUUUGUAUCACUCUUUCUUUCCAGUGGUUAAAUGAGCUAAUAUUUUUUUUAAAGUUAUGAUUUAUUAAGUAGCUAUUACAUGCAUACAUUAUUGGGCAUGCUACCAAGUAAUUCUGUAUACCUUAGUUUAAUGAAAUGCUUACAAUCACCCUUGAAGAAGUGAAGUUAUAGCAUAUGUUUAUAUAGAUGAGAUUUGAGAGGUUAAAUUCAUAUCCAAAAUCACAUAGUCGGUAAGUGGCCUGGUUGGGGUUCAAACACAUGUCCAUCCAACUCCAAAGCCCUUGCAUGAGGCCUCCAUGAUCUUACGGCUCUUAGUCAGGGCAUGUAUGGGAAUCCCUACUAACCGCUGGGGGUAGUUUGGCUCACUUACAUAUUUAUGUGUUCUUGGAAUUCGCUGUGACUUUAAUUUUUAGUAUUCUCUCUUUUUUUAAGGGCUGCACCCAUGGCUUAUGGAGGUUCCCAGGCUAGGGAUUAAAUUGGAGCUGUAGCCCCUGGCCUACGCCACAGCCGUAGCAACGCCAGAUCUGAGCUGUGCCUGUGAUCUACACCAAGCUCAUGGCAAUGCCAGAUCCUUAACCCACCGAAUGAGGCCAGGAUUGAACCUGUGUCCUAGUCAGAUUCGUUUCUGCUGAGCCCCAAUGUGUGAACUCCUUUAUUUAUUUGUUUAUUUUAUUUAAUUUAAUUUUAUUUUUUAGUAUUCCCCUAACAGUUUUUUCCUUCCUAAAUAGACCAUAAUCUCUCGGAGGCCAGGGCUGAGGUCCUCACUCUAGUGGCCCCCAACAUCAAACAUUUUGAUUAAUAACUCACCUGUCCACUGGUGAUAUCCAUAGCUUCAUGUGACAGGCUUGGUGUGGCACUGUCCUUCUAGUCAAUGGUAAAAUAAAGUUGGCCAGCUGCUUUCUAGUUUUUAUACGUUGGGUGAAAGCCAUGGAAGGUUGUAUUUGUCUUUACAAAUUCAUGCUACAGUUAAAUGUCUUCGUGGAUCCACGUCUGUUUCCUACUCAUUCAUUGGCUUUGUCCUGUCUAGUUCAUAUCAGACCACACAGAGAAAAAAGUAAAUAGCAAAUGAAAUUUCAUCAUCACUCAUUAAACAGCAUCUUCAGGCCAGUCUCUUCUAGGAGCUGGGUACAGAAUUGUGCUGAUCUUAGAUGGUUAAGGUAGCCACCCCAUCUUCCUUCCCAAGUAGCAGUUCCUGAACUGCCAGGUGGUCUUAGAAAUCAGGUGAAAGAAUUCCCAAAUAUAAAAUGAAUAUCAGCCACCCCCUCAUCUCUCAUCUUUUUCUUAUGCAGAUGGAGGAAGGAAGAAGCAAAAAAAAAA
rnacentral:lncRNA from 1 species